GAUGAACGCUGGCGGCGUGCCUAAUACAUGCAAGUCGAGCGAACGGACGAGAAGCUUGCUUCUCUGAUGUUAGCGGCGGACGGGUGAGUAACACGUGGAUAACCUACCUAUAAGACUGGGAUAACUUCGGGAAACCGUAGCUAACACCGGAUAAUAUUUUGAACCGCAUGGUUCAAAAGUGAAAGACGGUCUUGCGGGCAGUUAUAGAUGGAUCCGCGCUGCAUUAGCUAGUUGGUAAGGUAACGGCUUACCAAGGCAACGAUGCAUAGCCGACCUGAGAGGGUGAUCGGCCACACUAGAGCGGAGACGCGGUCCAGACUCCUACGGGAGGCAGCAGUAGGGAAUCUGCCGCAGAGGGCGGAAGCCUGACGGAGCAACGCCGCGUGAGUGAUGAAGGUCUUCGGAUCGUAAAACUCUGUUAUUAGGGAAGAACAUAUGUGUAAGUAACUGUGCACAGCUUGACGGUACCUAAUCAGAAAGCAACGGCUAACUACGUG
rnacentral:rRNA from 1 species